UACGUAGGGGGCAAGCGUUGUCCGGAAUCAUUGGGCGUAAAGCGCGUGUAGGCGGCCUUGUAAGUCCGUUCUGAAAGCCCGGGGCUCAACCCUGGGAGGCGGAUGGAUACUGCAGGGCUCGAGUACGGAAGAGGCGAGUGGAAUUCCCGGUGUAGCGGUGAAAUGCGCAGAUAUCGGGAGGAACACCAAUGGCGAAGGCGGCUCGCUGGGACGUUACUGACGCUGAGACGCGAAAGCGUGGGGAGCAAACAGG
rnacentral:rRNA from 1 species